GCACAGUAGAGAGAGGGGGCUGACAGAGAAAGGCCAUGUUGUUCUGCUGUAGCUUGUUGAACUUUUAACUAUUUCACAUUUUCUGUUACCAUUGUACCAUUGACAAGCAUUGUAGACUGAGAGAGUGCAACGGCUGAAGU